ACUGGGUUUACAUGGGUUCAGAUCUCAGCUGCAUCAUUGAACACACCAUGGGUCCUUGGGCAAGUUUUAUCCACCCCCAGGAAAAAUAAAAUCUUUAAACAAAUAAUAAUAAAAUAAAAUCUAAUUUCAUGCUUCAGAUAAAUAUACGUUUUUGUUUUGCUCUUAGGGGUGAUAAAAAGUAGCUAUUCAUUAUUCCAUAUCUAAGGAUGCACUGAAAUUUGGCUUUGGCCUUGUUCUUCAGAGGGUCACAUAGCAAAAUGCCUAUUUCAGCAUUAUUUCCAGCUUCCCCAAACUUGUGUGUGAUCAAAGGUCACGUGUUUCUCUAGGUUACUGUCCUAUCUAAUUAGCAUAACUAGAAUGAGGAUUGUCAUUUGGGAAAAAUAAAACCUUGCCGUCCGUCAUCCUCAGUUGAAAGUAAAUGUGUGUUUAAUAUCAUAGAUGUCCACUGCAGUGACCACAGGAGCACCCCAACAGCUGUCCUUGCUGAGAAAUUAGCAAUCGUUGUUCCUUGUGUAAUGUCAAACUUCCGUAAUUGAUCUACUAACAUUUUAAAAUGUUUAAAUUGUAUUAAUAGUACGUUUAUAUGAAGGUUUGGGUUUCUUCUUUUAUCUCAGAAGUUCAUUCUGUGAGUUAAUAGACAGCUGUCGUCUAGUCAGAUAUUGACUUUAAUAUUUAUCCUUUCAGCAUUUGGCCAAGAUGUGUAUCCAGAGCAUUUCUGAGUUUAACCCUUCUCGUGGUUCUGCAGGUGGUUUUUAAGUAGCUCUGUCCACAGCUCACUUCCUCCAGGGGAAUUAUUCUGGCCUUUCCUUGGGCUUACUUCCUCAGGUUUCAUUUCCUCCUGGGUUCCUGGGAGCCCUGGAGCGGGUGGUUCCCACAGAUUCCUGGAUAGACCAGACAGAGAGAGCCUCAUACACCUACGGGGAGAAGGGGCAUUAAUUUUUUUUUAAAGGGCCUCUUGGUUUGCCAGGGGCUUCACUGAUCAAUUACUUGACACCCCAACUCUUCUGUCUUUCUUUCCCAUGGGAAAGUAGGAUAGAGGGAUGGAGAACAUCCCUCCGCCCCUGUGCUCAAGACCGUGCCCGCUGAUACUUGCCACCACCACUUUCUACAAAUGGCCAGUAAAUGGUGUCAAGAUAUUUUUUGAGCACCUUCUAGGUUCCCGGGUCAGCACUAGGGACUGUGGGGUGCCAAGAGGCCACGACAGAAUUACCCUCCCCUUAAGGUGCCGAC
rnacentral:lncRNA from 1 species